UACGUAGGGACCGAGCGUUGUCCGGAAUCAUUGGGCGUAAAGAGCGUGUAGGCGGCCACUUAAGUCCUGCGUGAAAUCCUGCGGCUCAACCGCAGGCGGUCGUGGGAAACUGGGUGGCUAGAGUGCGGGAGAGGAGAGUGGAAUUCCUGGUGUAGCGGUGGAAUGCGCAGAUAUCAGGAAGAACACCCGUGGCGAAGGCGGCUCUCUGGAACGCAACUGACGCUGAGACGCGAAAGCGUGGGGAGCAAAUAGG
rnacentral:rRNA from 1 species